ACGCUGGCGGCAGGCCUAACACAUGCAGGUCGAGCGGUAGAGAGAAGCUUGCUUCUCUUGAGAGCGGCGGACGGGUGAGUAAUGCCUAGGAAUCUGCCUGGUAGUGGGGGAUAACGUCCGGAAACGGACGCUAAUACCGCAUACGUCCUACGGGAGAAAGCAGGGGACCUUCGGGCCUUGCGCUAUCAGAUGAGCCUAGGUCGGAUUAGCUAGUUGGUGGGGUAAUGGCUCACCAAGGCGACGAUCCGUAACUGGUCUGAGAGGAUGAUCAGUCACACUGGAACUGAGACACGGUCCAGACUCCUACGGGAGGCAGCAGUGGGGAAUAUUGGACAAUGGGCGAAAGCCUGAUCCAGCCAUGCCGCGUGUGUGAAGAAGGUCUUCGGAUUGUAAAGCACUUUAAGUUGGGAGGAAGGGCAGUAAAUUAAUACUUUGCUGUUUUGACGUUACCGACAGAAUAAGCACCGGCUAACUCUGUGCCAGCAGCCGCGGUAAUACAGAGGGUGCAAGCGUUAAUCGGAAUUACUGGGCGUAAAGCGCGCGUAGGUGGUUCGUUAAGUUGGAUGUGAAAUCCCCGGGCUCAACCUGGGAACUGCAUUCAAACUGACGAGCUAGAGUAUGGUAGAGGGGUGGUGGAAUUUCCUGUGUAGCGGUGAAAUGCGUAGAUAUAGGAAGGAACACCA
rnacentral:rRNA from 1 species